AUUUCUUCUUCACAAAAGAGGAGUCCUCAAAAUAUCGAAUCUUGGUCGUUGUUUGUUGCCGGGGUCGCAGGCGGAGCGUGGCCGGAGGAGACCCGACGCUUUUUCACCUCGCGGUCGAUGGCAGAGGAGGAGGAUCCAACGACGGGCUCGCUUUCGGUGCUGGAGCAGUGCCGGGCGAAGACGGUCACCGGGGUGUUCGAGGUCGGGGAGUCGCAGACGUCCGCCGCGAGGUUGCCCAUUGUAUUGCUGCAUUCCCACAGCUUCUCCUAUUUUGUAUCAGAAGAGGGAAAACAAUUUGAAGCUUUUAAGAAGAAAUUGAUGCCGAAAAGAGUGGAUCGGUGAAAUGGGGGAAGGAUCUAGCAGCCGGCUAUUACUUUAUUUACAAAUUCGCAGGAGAAGAUGGCGGCGCGGAAAGCGGGGAACUGGACGGGGAAGAUCUCGUAGGCCGCGGAGAGGAGGGCCGCGGCCGCCACCACCGAAGGGUUGGAUAAAUUCAUUACCGCUUUGGGUUUUGAGGAUGAUCUGCGUCGCGUGGGAUUUGAGGGCUCGAAUCAAAGGUUCUUGAGUAGGCGUGAAGAAGGAAACAAAGAAUCGAAGGAAGGAGAACGGAGUGAUCGGUCGCAUUCUCCAAUCCAAGGUCCCGAGUACUAGCAGCUCCAUUCGCCGAACUGUUUGGCCAUCGAAGAUGAUGCCUUUCACCCCCUGUGAUAUCGAACUGUGAGAUGGAUUGAUUCAACAACGAAAUCUUGUCAGGGGAAAAGAGACGGAUUUACAGUACUUGGAUAUCCGCGAGCAUCAAUCUGCUCUUCUUCAUCUUCGAGGCGAGGGAGAGACACGAGAUGGAGAAUAGACGGACGAUCCAUGGCUUCUCCUGCUGCAACCGAAGUGAUUAACAACCUACAUUGUGAUCAAACCCCCCACAUUGCAACUCAUUCCUACCGAGAUUUCGCGCUUGCAAAGGAACCGAUCGAUGUAGUUGAUCGCAAGGUAAGCGACAGAAGGGUCGAGAUUGCAGUCGAACUGUGCCUGCCCACCGAAAGACACAUCGCCCAAAUGAAAAACCAAACGAACCCAACAAAAAAAAUAUCAUCUUUUUCUUCACUUUACCUGCAGGACCAGAGCGACGGCAUCCCUCCGGGCAGCAAUGUCGAUAGUGCCGACGGAGGUGAUCAUGUGGUCGGAUUCCGCGGCGAAGAGCGCUGCAAAGGAGCCGGAGUGCUGCUGCUCGUCAUUGCAGCCCGUGAGUGUGUUCUCCAGAUCGUACUCCAUUCUCUUCCCCAGCAACAGAUUGGUAAAGGGGUGGUUUUUAGGAGUAGAAGCAUCCAUACGAAGCCCGGUAAAGGACAAUGAAGAAGAAAGGAGUGGAAUGGGGGUGGUUUAUAGCUAGGCGAACAGACUGUAAAGAGAGGGAGGCCAAUUAAACAGGGGAGGAGGAGAGAGACGAUCGAUCCUACGUCGCUCUCCUCCCUCUACAUCUUUCUUUAGCAGAUAGAUGACUGCUUCCUUCCUUCCUUUUGCUUGUUAACAGUACCAUCUAAUGGUUAAUAUAAUGGUGGUUAAAUCGAGGAAGUGAAGUGAUGUGAGGAGGAAGGAAACUUGAAAGGGAAGGGAGGAGGCAAUGAGAGGUGUCGGGAAAAGUGAGCAGGUGUCGCUGUAGUAUGGGCCGGGACGGGGACGGGGACGGAGACUGGGACAGAUAGCAGCGGCGGAUACUCUGGUAAAAAUAGCAGUCACAGUUAAGCAAACACUGGAACACAACCAAAGUCCAAUAAGGAGCAGCACCACUGUUUGCAUCAAUUGCAUCGACUGAAUGAUGAUGCCUGGCCUGGCCUGCUGCCGCUUCUUCCAUUGUCAAAUGUCAUGCACAUCAUCGUCUCUCACGAGGAUUUUGUGUGACUAAGCUUCCUUUCUUCUUUCAAGUAAUCUCCCCAGUCAAAUCUUAUACUUCUCACUGGAUGAUUCGAUUUGGCGUUUCUGUAAAUUUUAGCUGUUUUUUUUCUAAUUUAUUCUUGGUCAAAUGACUAGGAUUGCAUUAAUCUAGGAUUUGGUGUUGCCUCAAUAAAUGAUGGCAAAAGGUGAA